rnacentral:rRNA from 1 species
UACAGAGGUCUCAAGCGUUGUUCGGAUUCAUUGGGCGUAAAGGGUGCGUAGGCGGCCAACUAAGUCAGACGUGAAAUCCCUCGGCUUAACCGGGGAACUGCGUCUGAUACUGGAUGGCUUGAGAUUGGGAGAGGGAUGCGGGAUUCCAGGUGUAGCGGUGAAAUGCGUAGAUAUCUGGAGGAACACCGGUGGCGAAGGCGGCAUCCUGGACCAACACUGACGCUGAGUGAGCGAAAGCCAGGGGAGCAAACGGG